GACAGAGGCCUCAAGCGUUAGGCGGAAUCACUGGGCUUAAAGCGUGUGUAGGCGGGUCGUUAAGUACCUUGUGAAAUCCCACGGCUCACCCGUGGAACUGCUGGGUAUGACUGGGCGAUCUUGGGCCAACUAGGGGCAACUGGAACAAGCGGUGGAGCGGUGAAAUGCGUAGAUAAUCGCUUGGAACGCCAAAGGGUGAAAACAGGUUGCUGGGGUUGUG
rnacentral:rRNA from 1 species